rnacentral:rRNA from 1 species
UACGUAGGGCGCGAGCGUUAAUCGGAAUUACUGGGCGUAAAGCGUGCGCAGGCGGCUUUGCAAGUCGGGUGUGAAAUCCCCAGGCUUAACCUGGGAACUGCAUUCGAGACUGCAUUGCUAGAGUAUGGGAGAGGGAAGUGGAAUUUCCGGUGUAGCGGUGAAAUGCGUAGAUAUCGGAGGGAACAUCAGUGGCGAAAGCGACUUCCUGGACCAAUACUGACGCUCAUGUGCGAAAGCGUGGGGAGCAAACAGG